rnacentral:sRNA from 1 species
GGCAACCGCGCCGCCCGCGGCACGUUCCGGCCGCUCACCCCGCCCAAGGGCCGUGCGUACGUGCGUCGUCUCUAUGGUGGCGGCGGAUUUGGAGGGACCCUACGAACCAGGAGUCAGGCGAGCCGAUCUGGGGCUGCAGGUCCACUGGUGUGUCCUCCCCUUCCGAGUGCUGCUGGUACUCACCUCACAUCGAGGAAUACAGGAUAAAAAUAGUACCUACAUCCCAGAUUUGUUUUGAGGAUUAAAUGGGCUAAGGCUAACACGGAUAUGUGAAAUAGCAGAGGUCAGUUGGGUUAUGCCCCCUGGUUCUUGCCCCGGUCUUCCAGAUGUACGAGUCCAAUGGCUACACCAUGGUCUACUGGCAUGCACUGGACUCUGGAGAUGCCUCCCCAGUACAGGCUGUGUUUGCCCGGGGAAUUGCUGCCAGUGGCCACUUCAUCUGUGUGGGAACGUGGUCAGGCCGGGUGCUGGUGUUUGACAUCCCAGCAAAGGGUCCCAACAUUGUACUGAGCGAGGAGCUGGCUGGGCACCAGAUGCCAAUCACAGACAUUGCCACCGAGCCUGCCCAGGGACAGGAUUGUGUGGCUGACAUGGUGACGGCAGAUGACUCAGGCUUGCUGUGUAUCUGGCGGUCAGGGCCAGAAUUCACAUUAUUGACCCGCAUUCCAGGAUUUGGAGUUCCGUGCCCCUCUGUGCAGCUGUGGCAGGGGAUCAUAGCAGCAGGCUAUGGGAACGGACAAGUGCAUCUGUAUGAGGCCACUACAGGAAAUCUACAUGUCCAGAUCAAUGCCCAUGCCCGGGCCAUCUGCGCCCUGGACCUGGCUUCUGAGGUGGGCAAGCUACUCUCUGCAGGUGAGGACACCUUUGUGCAUAUCUGGAAGCUGAGCAGAAACCCAG